CUUGUACUCCCUCCGUCCGAAAAUACUUGUCAUUGAAAUGGAUGUAUCUAUAUGUAUUUUAGUUCUAGACACAUCCAUUUUGAUGACAAGUAAUUCCGGACGGAGGGAGUACUUG
rfam:Triticum aestivum genome assembly, contig: Triticum_aestivum_CS42_TGACv1_scaffold_641941_T_4AL-0.067713_1BL-0.043407